rnacentral:rRNA from 1 species
AACGAACGCUGGCGGCAGGCUUAACACAUGCAAGUCGAACGCAUCCUUCGGGGUGAGUGGCAGACGGGUGAGUAACGCGUGGGAACGUGCCCUUCAGUUCGGGAUAACCCAGGGAAACUUGGGCUAAUACCGGAUACGUGCGAGAGCAGAAAGAUUUAUCGCUGAAGGAUCGGCCCGCGUCUGAUUAGCUAGUUGGUGGGGUAAUGGCCCACCAAGGCGACGAUCAGUAGCUGGUCUGAGAGGAUGAUCAGCCACAUUGGGACUGAGACACGGCCCAAACUCCUAAGGGAGGCAGCAGUGGGAAUAUUGGACAAUGGGCGCAAGCCUGAUCCAGCCAUGCCGCGUGAGUGAUGAAGGCCUUAGGGUUGUAAAGCUCUUUCGUCCGGGACGAUAAUGACGGUACCGGAAGAAGAAGCCCCGGCUAACUUCGUGCCAGCCGCCGCUGUAA